AGAGUUUGAUCAUGGCUCAGAAUGAACGUUGGCGGCGUGGAUUAGGCAUGCAAGUCGCACGAGACACCAAUUAGCUUGCUAAGAGGUAGACAGUGGCGAAAGGGAGAGUAACGCGUGGUUACUUGCCCUCGAGACCGGGAUAGUGUCGGGAAACUGGCAGUAAUACCGGAUAACAUCUUCGGAUCAAAUGGUGUGAUUCCGCUCGAGGAUAGGACCGCGUACUAUUAGCUUGUUGGUGAGGUAACGGCUCACCAAGGCUGCGAUGGUUACCGGGUGUGAGAGCAUGGCCCGGCUCACUGGGACUGAGACACUGCCCAGACACCUACGGGUGGCUGCAGUCGAGAAUCUUCGGCAAUGGACGAAAGUCUGACCGAGCGACGCCGCGUGCGGGAUGAAGGCCCUCGGGUUGUAAACCGCUGUCAGUAGUUAGGAAAUCCUUGAGGGUUAUCUCUCAUGGUUGACCGAUCUUCAGAGGAAGGACGGGCUAAGUUCGUGCCAGCAGCCGCGGUAAGACGAACCGUCCAAACGUUAUUCGGUAUCACUGGGCUUAAAGCGUGCGUAGGCGGCUUGGUAGGUGAGAUGUGAAAGCCCACGGCUCAACCGUGGAAUUGCGUUUCAAACCCCCAAGCUCGAGGAAGAUAGGGGUGAUGGGAACUUAUGGUGGAGCGGUGAAAUGCGUUGAUAUCAUAGGGAACACCGGUGGCGAAAGCGCAUCACUGGAUCUUUUCUGACGCUGAGGCACGAAAGCUAGGGUAGCGAACGGGAUUAGAUACCCCGGUAGUCCUAGCCGUAAACGAUGAACACUGGGUUGAGGGGACUUCC
rnacentral:rRNA from 1 species